rnacentral:rRNA from 1 species
GACGAACGCUGGCGGCGCGCCUAACACAUGCAAGUCGAGCGAGAACCGGGGCUUCGGCCCCGGGGACAGCGGCGAACGGGUGAGUAACACGUGGAUAACCUGCCCUCGGCACCGGAAUAGCCCGGGGAAACUCGGAUUAAUGCCGGAUAGCCCCACAUCCCUGCGGGGAACGUGGGAAAAGGUAGCUUCGGCCUCCGACCGGGGAUGGGUCCGCGGUGGAUUAGCUUGUUGGCGGGGUAACGGCCCACCAAGGCGACGAUCCAUAGCUGGUCUGAGAGGACGAUCAGCCAAACUGAGACUGAAACACGGCCCAGACUGCUACGGGAGGCAGCAGUGGGGAAUCUUGCGCAAUGGGCGAAAGCCUGACGCAGCGACGCCGCGUGCGGGAAGAAGGCAUUAGGGUUGUAAACCGCUUUCAGGAGAGACGAAGCCACUCGGGUUAAUAGCCAAGAGGGUGACGGUACCUCCAGAAGAAGCCCCGGCUAACUACGUGCCAGCCGCCGCCGGUAAGAC